rnacentral:rRNA from 1 species
AGGAUUCCCCUAGUAACUGCGAGUGAAGCGGGAAAAGCUCAAAUUUAAAAUCUGGUAGUCUUUGGCUGCCCGAGUUGUAAUCUAGAGAAGCAUUAUCCGCGUUGGACCGUGUACAAGUGUCCUGGAAUGGACCAUCAUAGAGGGUGAGAAUCCCGUCUUUGACACGGACUCCCAAGGCUUUGUGAUGUGCUCUCAAAGAGUCGAGUUGUUUGGGAAUGCAGCUCUAAAUGGGUGGUAAAUUCCAUCUAAAGCUAAAUAUUGGCGAGAGACCGAUAGCGAACAAGUACCGUGAGGGAAAGAUGAAAAGAACUUUGGAAAGAGAGUUAAACAGUACGUGAAAUUGCUGAAAGGGAAACGCUUGAAGUCAGUCGCGUUGGCUGGGGAUCAACCUUGCUUUUUUGCUUGGCUUACUUCCCAGUUGACGGGUCAGCAUCAGUUUUGACCGGUGGAUAAAGGUUAAGGGAAUGUGGCACCCUCGGGUGUGUUAUAGCCCUUGGUCAU